CUAUGUCCGUGACGGAAAAUCUCCGUCAAAACCUUCCCUUCACAGAAAAUCUCCGAAGCCUCCAAAACUCCACGAAAAACGUCCGUCAAAACCCACCUCCUCGCCGCCCACUCUUUCCCACUCGAAGCACUGAUUCAGGCUAGCGCCAGCCACAGCGCCUUCAUCGCCAUACCUUUACUGGGGCACUUCCUCCUCCCCAUCCCAAACGGAAUCAUUCACUUCCCCUCCGCCUUCCCCUCCUCGAAUCUCUCCGGUGCGAACACCUCCGGCGCCUCCCAGAUCGUCGGAUUUCUCUGGAUCGAGUACGCAUUCACCAGAAGAAUGGUCCCCGGAGGCACGCGGGAGCCGACCACGAAGCACUUGCCCGAGGAUUCGUGCGGCAGCAGCAGAGGCGCCGCAGGGUACAUCCGCAGCAUUUUGAACGACGCAGUUGAGGUAGGGAAGGUUCCGCAGUUGAGCCCUUCUAAGGUCGGCGGCGAUGGCCCGUAUCAUUCGCUUCAAGUAGAAGUUAGGAAAGAAAACGAAUAAAGUAAUCGGAGAAGGAAUUGUUUAUUUUCGCCAGAAUCACCCGCUUUCGCUUCGAAGACGAGGUUUGGUACAAAUCAUCGGCAAUUGGAAAGAAGGAAACAGAGGCAGGAUCAUUAAUUGGAGUAACUAAGUGUAUAAUCUGGUUGAGGGCUGGCUGCAGUGUAGGACUCUAGAUUCGUCUUCUUCGACUGAGCUUUAGUCACUGUUGAAGAUGAAGAGGGCUUCUCUGAUUGCUUCGGCAGUGAAGAGGGUUUCUCUUACUUUGGGUGCAGCAGAAGCCCUACGUAUGUUCUGAUAUGCACAUAACUGUGGUAAUCUUAGCAUUGGUGUCACAGUGAGAAGAUUCGUCGGAGAGCAAUGGAAGUGGUUGCUUUGGCUCAUGGAAAGGUCUUGAUCACAGGUGGCUACCUCAUCUUGGAGCGGCCAAAUGCUGGCAUAGUUUUCACCACCACCCCUUGCUUCUAUGCCAUCGUCAAACCGCUGUAGAACGAUAUCAAACCUGAUAGUUGGGUCUGGUCAUGGACAGAUGUUAAAGUAACUUCCCCUCAGCUUUCUUGGGCGGCCACAUACAAGUUGUCUUU